CAGGAUUUGUACUGUUUGUUAUAAAAGAUAUGAAAAUGCAGUCACAUUUUUGGAAUGUUAAUACAUUAUACACAAGCAGGAUGGCUGCAUCAUGACUUUGGUCACCUGUCGGUGUUCAAGGACUCCAAAUCAAACCAUUACUUUCACCAUUUCAUUUUGACUUUCUUUAAGGGCUGUUCCUCAAGCUGGUGGAAUAAUUUACAUGAUCAACAUCA